AGUGAACGCUGGCGGCGUGCUUAACACAUGCAAGUCGAACGAGAACGGAUUAAAGCUUGCUUUAAUUGUCAGCUAAGUGGCGCACGGGUGAGUAAUAUAUAGGUAACGUGCCUUCAAGAAGGGGAUAACAAUUGGAAACGAUUGCUAAUACCCUAUAUGCCUUUAUGUCAUAAGACAGCAAGGGAAAUAUUUAUAGCUUGAAGAUCGGCCUGUACAGUAUCAGUUAGUUGGUGAGGUAAUGGCUCACCAAGACAAUGACGCUUAACUGGUUUGAGAGGAUGAUCAGUCACACUGGAACUGAGACACGGUCCAG
rnacentral:rRNA from 1 species